AUGAAGUUUCUAGGAAUUUUAUUUUUAUCUUAAAUUUUCCCAUUUUGACAAGCUCUAAUGAACAAUUUCUUUUUGUGAUGCAUUAGAAUAGGAAUACAAUAGGAAUACAAGUGUCACAAUAGAGAUUUUUAAUCUACCUACACAAAAUAUAAUUGGACAAAUUGCUGAAGAAAACUACAAGAAUUUCAUACAGGUCGACAUAUAAGGUAAUCAAUCAUUUUACAGUUGAUAUCCUUUUCUACUAAGGUUACGCAUUCCCUCAGGAAAAGCUAGUUUGGCUGUUCUAUUCAGAUCUUUUUUAUUUUGAUGUUUUUUUAUGGAUGUAUGGCAUCCUAAAUGUAAGGAAUAACAGUACUGUAGUUGAAGAGUUGCUGCCGUCAAUUUUUGAUUUCACUGUAACAAAUAUCUGUUUUACUGACUAUAAGGUAAUUCUUGUAGUUUUCUUCAGCAAUUUGUCCAAUUAUAUUUUGUGUAGGUAGAUUAAAAAUCUCUAUUGUGACACUUUCCCUCACGGAAAUGCAAACAUAAGUUUAGCCUAGAUAAGCAUGUAUACUGUUCUUCUUUUUUAGCUCACCUGGCCCGAAGGGCCAAGUGAGCUUUUCUCAUCACUUGGCGUCCGUCGUCCGUCGUCCGUCGUCGUCCGGCGUCGUCCGUCGUCGGCGUAAACUUUUUACAUUUUGAACUUCUUCUAGAGAACCACUGAAUGGAAUGAAACCAAACAUGGCAUGAAUGUUCCUUAUGAGGUGCUGACCAAGUGUUGUUACUUUGUAGCGGAUCCAUCAUCCAAGAUGGCCGCCAGCGGUGGACUUAGUUUAACAUAGGACCCUAUGGGAAAUACAUACAAAUGUCUUCUUUUAGAGAACCACUGAAUGGAAUGAAACCAAACAUGGCAUGAAUGUUCCUUAUGAGGUGCUGACCAAGUGUUGUUACUUUGUAGCGGAUCCAUCAUCCAAGAUGGCCGCCAGCGGUGGACUUAGUUUAACAUAGGACCCUAUGGGAAAUACAUACAAAUGUCUUCUUUUAGAGAACCACUGAAUGGAAUGAAACCAAACAUGGCAUGAAUGUUUCUUAUGAGGUGCUGACCGAGUGUUGUUACUUUGAAGCCGAUCCAUAAUCCAAGAUGGACGCUAGCGGUGGACUUAGUUUAACAUAGGACCCUAUAGGAAAUACAUACAAAUGUCUUCUUUUAAAGAACCACUGAAUGGAAUGAAACCAAACAUGGCAUGCAUGUUCCUUUUGAGGUGCUGACCAAGUCUUGUUACUUUGAAGCUGAUCCUUCAUCCAUGAUGGCCGCCAAUGGGGGGACUUCCUUUAACAUAAGACCCUAUGGGAAAUACAUACAAAUGCUUCUUCUAGAGGUGCACUGAAUGGAAUGAAACCAAAACAUGGCAUAAAUGUUUCUUAUGAGGUGCUGAUUAAGUGUUGCUACUUUGUUGCCGAUUUACUGUUCAAGAUGGCCACCAGGAUUUUUUAUUAAAUUACAGGACCAAUAUUAAACCAAAUUUGGCCUCACUCAUUAUUAGGGUAUCUGUUAUGAUUUUAAUCUAUUUUUACAUGAUUUCCAAAACCAAAGUAGAAUCAGGUGAGCGACACAGGCUCUUGAGAGCCUCUAGUUUUCUUUUGAAAUAAUCCAUAUUUAAAGUAAUAAUGUGUACCUACAUGUAAUAAAACUAGAAAUUGUC